GGCUGGUUAGCUCAGUCAGUUGAGCGUGGCGCUAACACGCCAAGGUCGCGGGUUCGAUUCCUGCUCGGUCC
rfam:Apaloderma vittatum contig82845, whole genome shotgun sequence.